rnacentral:rRNA from 1 species
AGAGUUUGAUCAUGGCUCAGAACGAACGCUGGCGGCAUGCCUAACACAUGCAAGUCGAACGAAGGCUUCGGCCUUAGUGGCGCACGGGUGCGUAACGCGUGGGAAUCUGCCCCUUGGUUCGGAAUAACAGCGAGAAAUUGCUGCUAAUACCGGAUGAUGACUUCGGUCCAAAGAUUUAUCGCCAAGGGAUGAGCCCGCGUAAGAUUAGGUAGUUGGUGGGGUAAUGGCCUACCAAGCCGACGAUCUUUAGCUGGUCUGAGAGGAUGAUCAGCCACACUGGGACUGAGACACGGCCCAGACUCCUACGGGAGGCAGCAGUGGGGAAUAUUGGACAAUGGGCGAAAGCCUGAUCCAGCAAUGCCGCGUGAGUGAUGAAGGCCUUAGGGUUGUAAAGCUCUUUUACCAGGGAUGAUAAUGACAGUACCUGGAGAAUAAGCUCCGGCUAACUCCGUGCCAGCAGCCGCGGUAAUACGGAGGGAGCUAGCGUUGUUCGGAAUUACUGGGCGUAAAGCGCACGUAGGCGGCUACUCAAGUCAGAGGUGAAAGCCCGGGGCUCAACCCCGGAACUGCCUUUGAAACUAGGUAGCUAGAAUCUUGGAGAGGUCAGUGGAAUUCCGAGUGUAGAGGUGAAAUUCGUAGAUAUUCGGAAGAACACCAGUGGCGAAGGCGACUGACUGGACAAGUAUUGACGCUGAGGUGCGAAAG